UACAGAGGUCUCAAGCGUUGUUCGGAUUCAUUGGGCGUAAAGGGCGCGUAGGCGGGCGAUCAAGUCAGGGGUGAAAGCCCCCAGCUCAACUGGGGAAGUGCCUCUGAUACUGGUCAUCUCGAGGGAGGUAGGGGCGUGCGGAACUUCCGGUGGAGCGGUGAAAUGCGUAGAUAUCGGAAGGAACAUCGGUGGCGAAAGCGGCGCGCUGGACCUCUUCUGACGCUGAGGCGCGAAAGCUAGGGGAGCAAACGGG
rnacentral:rRNA from 1 species